UACGGGGGGGGCAAGCGUUGUUCGGAAUUACUGGGCGUAAAGGGCUCGUAGGUGGCCAACUAAGUCAGACGUGAAAUCCCUCGGCUUAACCCGGGGAACUGCAUCUGAUACUGGAUGGCUUGAGUUUGGGAGAGGGACGCGGAAUUCCAGGUGUAGCGGUGAAAUGCGUAGAUAUCUGGAGGAACACCGGUGGCGAAGGCGGCGUCCUGGACCAACACUGAGCACUG
rnacentral:rRNA from 1 species